UUCUCUCUCCCAGGUCCUCUUCCCCUCCCGUGCCCAUCUUGCAUAGCGACGGCGGCAGCGUGCUGGCUUGCUUCUGCGCGUUAGCGAUGCCAUCCCCUGUCGCCCCGUUCUCUCUUCUGCUCAGACACGGCUCUCCUCCGGCCUGCUAGCACAGCUGCAGCCGCCUCCUCCACUUGUGCAUGCACUACUGAAAUCCAACAUUGCAGAAGAAAACUUUCUAGAAUUUCUACCAGGUAGAUCAUGCUCUACCUUAUAUAUUUCAAAACAGGUCGUAGCCCGAAGACUAUAGGUCAAUUACAUGAAGCUCAUAUUACGCACCAUGGUGCAAGGCCAUGAGCAGCCUGUAGGUUAAAAGAAGAGAAGAAAAGAAUGGAAAGGGGAGGAAAAGGGGGAGAAGGCCGAUACAAUAUAGACUAGGCCACUAACAUAGUUCUGACAAUUCAUUCUCAUACUAAUAGAUGAGCUAAUUGAAUGUCCUACCCAGGUAUAUCAUGAAAUUUGCAUUUGUGAAUCUUUCCACGUGGGACAUAUU